rnacentral:lncRNA from 1 species
AAGGUUUUCACUAAUUGAUCUUGACUCGAGGGAAACCUCAUCCUCCACGGAUUACAGUUUUCCAGCGCUGCAGAAUUUUAAUCAUCCAUUUGAGAUACGAAUCCCACCAAGUGCCUCUGUCUGCCCGCUACAGCAAGAUGAAGGCUAUGUUACACCAGAUUUGAUGGAUACGAACCUGCAAGUGAAUUUGAAGAGCCUGAUGAACCAAGGGCAGAGUCCUUUUCAGGUCACUCGUGGACUUCUCUAAUUGGCAUUGGCAGCAGCGAUAAACCGCUUCUAAGUAGUUACAAGGAUGAAGAGUCUAUUUCCAAGAUGAUGCAAUGGCUGGCACCCAGCAACAAAAAGCGCUGGUAUCAGAAUGACCCAACAGUUGUUAGUUUGCAGGAAUUAGUUGACAAUCUAAGAUACCUCCUAGUAGGGGUUCCAUCACGCCUGUUUCUACUCAAUCCAGAAACAAAUAAGUUUUCCAUCGCUGAGAAUAUCAAAUUACGUGGAACGUCUGAAGCAUUCUUAUCUGCGCUAGUCAAAGAUUUUUUGUCCUGUGGUAACACAGCACAUCACUUAGAUAACUUAGCAUCCAACCCUGACAGGAGACUUCAUGGUCUAGUUUACGAUACAUUGUGUGAAGCCCUGUCUGUCUACCUGCAGUCUGUUCGCUGUUCAGUCCUCCUUUUGGACCUAGCUACCACAUCGCUUGCCUCAAUCUCGCACACCACUGCACCACUCCGUUCCCAACUUCAAACAGUGAGCUGUGCUUGUCAUGGUCUGAGCAUACCUCAGCCCCCUCCGGUGGUCACCUAA